GUUACUAUAGUAUAAAACUUAAUACAGUAUUUUUUCGUAAUACAAAUAUGAAAAUUUCAUUAAUAACC
rnacentral:tRNA from 1 species